CAUAAACAUUCAGCUUGUCCAAUUGCUGUGUUACUGUGGUCGAUAAAGCAAAAAUUACUUCACUUUACCAGCAGAAAGGGCAGACAUAAACUUUUUUUUUUUUUUUGGUAUAACCAAAGCAAAAUCCCACUUAAAAUUGAGCUAUUAGAACUUCCUGUUUCGUUGGCCAGCUUGGCUUGCCACGUUUUCUCCUUGGCUCAGACAAUCUGAUGCAUUCAAGCGAGUUGGCUACUCUCACACAAACCGCAUAUUUUAUCACUUCAACCACCGCUCUAUCCCCUGCUUUAGUUUUUGGAACCCAGGAGUGCUAGAUACCACCUGAAGCACCAGAAGCCCAAGCCUAUGAAGUGGACAUCCAACCUCAACAUACACCCUUAAACCCACACCAAGUCAGACAGGCCAAAUGAGCUCCACCAUACCAGGAGACUGCAGUGGAAAUGGACUGCACACUGCGGUAGUAACCUCAUCAAUUACUGCAGUACAGGCCCCUCACUAGUCUAAACUUGACCAACUAAGGCCUAUCACAAGCUUUACGUCCACACUGAGGAAUUAUUUGGCAACCACGCUAAUUACAAAUAUCUUGCCGCACAACACGCGUUCCAUCUGUGAAGUCAUCACAAGCCAUACUUCACUAGAAGGAACAACAAUAUCUGGGCAUACUUUCUUUGAAGUGCAGAAGUAAAAACAAUGUUUUUAGCGAACAUUUGUUAAGACUUGAUAAAGGCUUGCUGUAGGCCCAAAACUUGUUUAAUUCUGCACUUCAAAUAAAGUCUGCCUUCAUAAUAAACCUUAAGUUGUGCCCAGGUAUUGUUUCUUCUAUUGCAUUCACAGGGAGUUCGGCCCGCUUAACUUGGUGAGAGUAGCCCUAUUUUUGGCAUGUGCGAUACCCUCUUCCAGUUGUUAAUACAGGCCGUACUUCCCUUUCCACCUCAAAACAUUGUUACCCAUUUGAUUCACAAGGGAUUCUUCUCACAUUGCAAAACUAGCUUGACCCUCACAAUUUUGCCAUUUUCUACCAGGCUUUCUUGGCUAUAUAGUGAUUUGCCCAGGCCAUGCUAAGCCUUUUUGGUUCAAGUUGACACACAGUCACAAAAUUCCAAAACCACUUCUGAUAAAGCUACCUAUUUCAACACUAGCAACCGAUGCACCAGCUGGACCACAUGUGUAUACUUCAUUUUUGUUUUAUUACGGGUUUUGGGGUUUUUCUCUGCAAUCCAAAACACCAGCCUCUUCUACAAUUAGUUUGCAUCAGAUAAGCAUUUCUGUUCCUUAUGUAACUUCACAUGAACUGCUUCUAUAUGCAAAGUAGUAUUAACGUGUGUCUCUCUACUUGAGCAAGCAUAUAUAUUGGUUGACUUUUGUUUUGCUCUGCAUUUCUACUUCACACAAACGGCUACUCCAAAAUAUUAUUGGAUGAAAACAUUAAUCCUUCAAAUCACUGACCAACCUCACAGGUCUCAUCUGCUGAUACCCCUAAUAUCACAAGUCAUAUUUAAGGGGGUGACCCCAAAGUACUAUACUCUUCUCUAAUUCACUAAGACUCGGUGAAAUCUAGUUCUCCAUUAUGCUCAACUCAUUUGAGCUUUCACACUUUUCCUUCUGUUAAGCUGGCACCCCGCAACAGACAUUUCGCACUCCCUUAAACACAGAUCCUACUAACUCCCACUGACUACACCUGACCAAACAAAAAAGACAAUCACACUUUUAGAACAGACUACAUCCCUUCAUAACAGAACUGGCUCGAUCCAAGAUCACUUGACAGCACACUUCUUCUUUGGCAUUUCCUUUUAUCAUUACUUCCGUUCAAUCGCUGUGGAUAGAAUUAUUGAUUAAAAAGGCCUAAAAGCAAGCCACCAAGACCAGCCAAGAAAGACUGCAACAAAAUACCUUAACAUCAUUACAAAAAAAAGUUGAUGAUCUCGAAAACCAAUUUACAAUUUGUUAGCUUUCCAGAAUCUUUAAGGACAAGUGACAGCUCUACUCUUCAAUCCUGGUUGCUGGAUAUGCUCCAAGUAGCCAUUGUUGCCUCACCAUUGAAAUCAGACAUAGACUUGGCCCAACAAGACCAGAUAAAAUCUCUAAGCCAUGACCUAUUAUAGCAAAAUUUCUGAAUCUUUACGACAUCGUACAAAUUCUUAUUGCUUAUAAGCACACAGCCCAUCCAACUUACCAAGGCAAUAUUUUAAUCUUCAAUGAUUUUUCGGCACAGGUCACUCAGAUGCUGAGCUUUGCACAGCACUACACAAAAAGGGCAUAUUUCUCUCUUCUAUUCUGUUAUACUACACCUAAACAUAACAAACCAAGCUUUCUCUACCACAUCUGUGGAGAAGCAACAACAUUUCUAAACAAGGAUUUGCUUGCCUGUAUGAUGCUCUCACCAAGACCGUCUGUCCACUCCUCACCUAUUUGAGAGGAACAGUAACUCCAAGAAUACCCGCUCUUUUUGGUUUAAGUUUCUGUCCAGAUGGCCUCAAGGUUUUCGGAUCCACAGAACCCUUCACCCGAUUAAAUAUUUGGGACUUUCUGUCUGCAUGAAAUGAGACGGACGGAGACCCAUUCUCUGCUACAAAGCUUCCCAUGCCAAGGUAUCAGCUGACUCUGAUGUCUUCCAGAUCUUCUCUUUUAACAUCAAACACAUCCGUUAAAAAGAGGUAAGUUCUAACUAAACUAACAAACCAUCAACCACAUAACCCAUCACUCUCAUCACCAUCAGUCUAUUUGGGCUAAUUUCAUGGGCGACAAUCUUGAACAUAUAGAUGGACCUAAACUUUUUGGGAAAACAUCCAAAGUGGUCAUAAGAGGUCAAAUACUCUUACAGCAAAGAAAAGGUUGUGGAAAGAUUUUGUAGUACUAGAAUUGGAUCCGAAAUUCUCAUGUGCUGGAUAUCUAACGGACGUCUUUAUAAAAAAACAGACAAAUCAAGGUGCAAAAUACACUUUAAAUAAUUUCAUAAUCAUGCACAUGAAAAUAAAAUUUCCAAACACAACACUUCUUUACGUGAGAUGGAAAGUCUAAGAAACUAAUGGCCAAUUCCAGAAACAAAUUCAAACCCAUAAAAGCGAUUGUUUUCGCUGAGUGUCAUAGACGUACUUUUC
rnacentral:lncRNA from 1 species